rnacentral:rRNA from 1 species
UACGAAGGUGGCAAGCGUUGUCCGGAAUUACUGGGCGUAAAGGGCCAGUAGGCGGCCAACUAAGUCGGAUGUGAAAUCCCCAGCUUAACCUGGGAACUGCAUCCGAUACUGGAUGGCUUGAAUUCGGGAGAGGGAUGCAGAAUUCCAGGUGUAGCGGUGAAAUGCGUAGAUAUCUGAGGAGACACCGGUGGCGAAGGCGGGCAUCCUGG